GUGAGAAUUUGUUGGCUGAGGUGAUCGGCUUUGUGGCUACUCUGAUUGGUUGGCGAUGCCAUGUCUUAUGGAUCAAAUCUGACAUGUAUCAAUAAUGAUUAGAGUUUAAUUUAUUUUUAAAAAUUAUAACUUUGAUUAUUUUAUUUUUUAAAAAAAUUAAAGUUAUUUAAAUAGAAUUUAUGCAUGUAGUAUAAAAAGAGGUGGAAGGAUAUGUUUGAAAGAAAAAAAAAUGAUAAG
rnacentral:lncRNA from 1 species